UACGUAGGUGUCAAGCGUUGUCCGGAUUUACUGGGCGUAGAGAGCUCGUAGGCGGUUUGGUAAGUUGGAUGUGAAAUCUCCAGGCUCAACUUGGAGGGGUCAUUCGAUACUGCCAUGACUAGAGUUCGGUAGGGGAGUGUGGAAUUCCUGGUGGAGCGGUGAAAUGCGCAGAUAUCAGGAGGAACACCCGUAGCGAAGGCGGCACUCUGGGCCGGAACUGACGCUGAGGAGCGAAAGCGUGGGGAGCGAACAGG
rnacentral:rRNA from 1 species